ensembl:lncRNA
AUUGGAUGACAUUAUUUUUCCCAGAGGCAUUUUGGAUUGUUACAUAAUUAAUGUUUAUCUCUUUGUCAGAAAUCUUUUUUUUUUUUCCAGAACAGUAACCUGAAAAGAUAUUUUCUUUGCAUUAAGUGCUAUUUCACUGUGUGACAAUCAAUUUUUGAAUGCCGCGCUGCACCCCGUGGUUCCUGAGCCCUGGGCUGAAGUACGCCCUGCUGCAUCGCCUGUGCCGCUUUUGCUGUGCAACGAGAGCUCCUGCCCUGGGAAACUUCCUCGCGCCUGACAAGCACCACAGGCUGCAGCAAGACCUGUGGGAAGCGUGGGCUGGGAGGAGCCCGCCAUGGCCCUGUCGUCUCCAGGCUAGGAGCGACUUUGUGGGGUUUGUCGGCCCUUCUCUCAGGUGUCCUGUAUCUCAUGGAUUAGCUGGCGAGCCCUGUCAGAUGCCUCUCUCCUGUCUGGAGGUGCACUCUCCAAAACGCUGCCUGCCACCCGGAUCUCCUGGCGCAGAGUGAGGCCACAUCUGCAGACCUUACCGCACAGAGUCCGAAGGCAUUCGGCAAGAAGGGGAGUGGGCUGCAUGUGAGUUCUCACUGGAGAAACCGGCUCUGCUCCCUACUCUGCUUUUGGGGUGCCAGAUGUUCAGACCUGCUGUGUCUAUCGGGCACCAUGGCAGGGUGGUGGGAGUGGGGGCGGGAGAGCGCGGAUGGAUCCAGGGAAGGACUUAGUUGAAUGCCAGCUGCUCACAUACUUCUUGCUGGUCUUGGACAAGCUCCCUCGUUUCUCUGGGCUUCCGUUUGAUUGUAAACUAGGACGCCGCCCAAGUCUGAAGAUGUCGGUGUGUGCGGGAAUGCCUGGCGCAGUCACGAUGGGUUUUCCUUCAGCCUCCUCCAUGCCCCUCCCUGGGUCAAUCAGUAUCCAUGCGUGCCACAAGUAAAUUACAGCCCCUCCGAAAAACCAGUUGACCCGAGUUUUAUAGUCAAGCAUGGUGAGUGUCCUUGCCAGGAAAUGCCACUAGAUGUCUCUGGCCUGCUCCUCUAUGUCCACAGCAAUCCCCGGACAGGCUGGUUCAGGACGUGGGAGGUGGGAGUCGGUGUUGCACCUAGGACAGGCUGAAGUCAAAGGCUCAUUUGCUCUGUGAGGGGUGAUCAGGAUGACACAUCAAGAGGAGCCCCGUGGCUGACCCUGGAGGUGGACGGUCGGGUCGGAUUGGCCGCCCUCCAGCAGGUAUUUCGAGUGAUGCCUUCCCUGGGUCACGCAGCCCUGAUCUGUAGCGCACAACUUCCCAGCUCCAGCCAAUCUGGUCUUGCCGUCUCCUUCCAAGAAGGUAGGUGUGGCGCAGUUGCCUUUAAGCGGCUCCUUCUGGACACCGCAGGGCGGCAACAAGCAAGCAUGGGCGCCUUUUUUAUUAGGUUGACCAAAAUACGCGGGGCCAGCUUUGCACGAUCCCAUUCAGCAUCACACGUGUGCAUCGGCCACUCGCCUGUCCAUCUGCCACAGACAGGCUUGGACAGGACCAUUGAGUGGCCUUUACGGCAAAGAGCCUAAAGGGCUCACAGGUAACCUGGACCCAGCGCAAUGGUAACAGCGCAGCAAUACCUGUCAUUGAUCAAGGGGUAUUCUGGGCCAGUCGCGGUGUUAAGUGAUCCAAUUCGGUUAGCACUCUUAGAAUUAACCCUCUUUUGCCUAUCAGGAAAUAGAGGAUGGAGGGCAUUAACGCCAGGGAGCAGGGAGUAAGGGGACACAUAGAGGGGCUGAGGGGCUGGGUGCUCUGAGCCCACGGAUCCGCCCCCAGGCCCCGGCUGCACGGGCACCAGAGCUGCUGCUCUGGAGGGGGUGAGGAGCUCUGGGGAAAAGAUGGAGCCUGACGUGGGUAAGAUUUGGAUAUUUUCAGGAGAGAUUUUCAGCCUGGAAUGAGGGUGUAAGUGACUGCAUCAAAGUGAUGAGCCAGAUAGCCCGGCUGCAGAAGCUCCCCUGUGAGGUGAGGGAGGAAGGCGUUGGGGGCGCCUGGCUGAGCAGAGACGCUGGGUCGCCAGGAGCCGCCGCGGGUUUGGAAAGGGGGAGAAACGCAGCGCCCUGCACUGCAAGGGCACCGACACUUGGUUGUGGUUCUUCCUGACUGUGACAGGCACAAAUGGUGCUGAUAGUGGAAUGCACGGAGUCUGCCUUCAGAGAACUCCUUGUGUCUUUUAAAACCUGGGCCUCUCAUUUAAACUUGGUGGCCUCAGGUGAAUGAUCAGAAACAGUUUCUGUUGAGGUUGCAGAGAUUGUGCGUGGCGUCUGCUUGUGCACAGCCUCUGACUGUGUAUAGUCUCUGAUUGUGGCCUCUGGCCUCUUUGUGGCCUCUGAUUGUGUGGGUCUCUGUGUGUGGUCUCUGAUUGUGUGUGGUCUCUGUGCAGCCUCUUAUUGUAUGUGGUCUCUGAUUGUGCGCGACCUCUGAUUGUGCACGGCCUCUGAUUGUGGGUUGUGUGUUUCCCGGGAUUAAGUAGAUGAGCCUCGUGCUGGGGCAGGUGUGCCUUGUGUUGGGCAUGUGGAGGAGGAAGAAGUUUAACCCAUCCCCUCUUUGAGAAUGGCAGGACAGUAACAAAGGUGGUUGAUUUAUACAUGGCCAUCCUUGUGAGGUGAGGACCUGAAAGGUUUACUGCUUUCCUGGAAAGCUGCUCUGGGCAUCACCAUCACUGAUCAUGAACAGCAGCUCAGAAGCCCGUUUAAGGUGCAGGGAGGGACCGGCGCUGGUCCUGUCUGUGCCCAGGCUGCUGGUCACACCGACGGCCAGGGGAUGGCUGCCUUUGCACGAAGCUGGGGUCAGAGUUAAUUUGGGCAGUGUCGGCUUUGAUUUAGGUCAAGAUUGGUCAGUCGUCCUAAAAUACUAGCCAUGAAAACUUUCAUAGAUUGUAGUUCUUUGGGAGGUUUCUAUGUGGUUUUUAAAGCAUAGGGCCCAUGGCCAGUGUUGAAUUACAUUUUGUUCAGUGUAACUGACAGGACACCGGACCUUGAGUCCCAGGCCUGCCACCGGGUUCAGGGAGCUUCAGAGAGGGAGAUGUUUGUGCUCAAGUUUUCACCGAUGGGAUGGGACAUGGGCAUGGGGCUGGAAUGCUCUAACCUUCAAUCUUCAGUCAUCGGUAUCACCUGUGCACACGCAUAUCGUUUUCAAAGAUGGACGAGCUUUUGGGAAAUAUCUGAAGACUUCAAGUUUUGAAAGAAGCCGGGAUGACACUGGAAACGUCAGGUGUCUUGGCUGCUGAUCAGGUCCAUCACUACGCACAUGGUCCCUAACCUGGCACACCUCUGAUCCCGCACAGUGGGUGACCAGGUCCGUAACCUCAAAAGCUUCUGAUUGGGGCAGCUGGUGACUAGGUCUGUAACCUUGCCUGGCUCUGAUUGGACACAGCAGGUGACCAGGUCACUAACCUCGCACACCUCUGAUCAUGCACAGCGGGGUGACCAGGUCCAUAACCUCACACUUCUGUGCACAGCAGGUGAACAGGUCCCUAAUCUCAAAAGCUGCUGAUUGGGUGCAGCUGGUGACUAGGUCUGCAACCUCGCGUGGCUCUGAUUGUGCAGAGCUGGUGACCAGGUCACUAACCACACACACCUCUAUUCGUACACAGCGGGUGACCGGGUCCAUCACCUCACACCUCUGAUGGUGCAUAGCGGGUGACCAGGUCUGGAACCUUGCACACCUCUGAUCGUGCACAAUGGGUGACCAGGUCCAUGACCUGACGCCUCUCUGCACAGUGGGUGACCAGGUCCAUAACCUCACACCUCUGAUAGUGCACAGCUGGCGGGCGCAGGACCCACUUCAGUGAGGGGCUGACUUCCCAGGUGUGAAGCGGGAAUGCUGUGUGGCUCGCUAAGCCCCUCCAUGCUUUGGGGGCUCCAGGCUGUGGGCAGCAAGUAGGAGGUUGUCCCAGGAGGAUGCUGUGUGUUGGGGAUGGGAGGCAGCUGCAGGGUGGAAGUAGGAUGAUGUUGUAGGGGGCCACUGUGGGGGGGGUGGGACAGGAGGCAACUGCAAGUUGGAAGUAGGAUGUUGUCCUACAGGAGGCUGCUGUGUGUCGGGGAGGGAGGAGGCAACUGCAGGGUGGUGUGGUGGUCACCGUGCCACUGAUUUCAGGUUAAAAUAGAAUGUGGACCUCUUUUUACAAUAAUUGUUAAUUACUCCGCUAGUUUGUGUUGCUGUCUCUUGCUGUGCAGUCCACAGUCUGACAUCUCUGUGGUCCCCAUGUUUCCCUCCUGCUCGUGUUACCCAAUCCUGUG